UGUUGUUACUUUCUGGUGAAAAGUUUCCUCGCUGGGGCCGGGCAUUUCUGGAGGACAGCAUUGGGUGGAGCUGAAAAGGAACGGCCCGCGGGUGCCUGGACCUGGAUGGGGCGGGGUUGGCCAAAUCCCUUCCUUUGGAUUCCACCUCCAGCUAGACCCCGUGGAGCCUGGUUUUCCCAUCUCUGCCCCUCUGCUGAGCCAUUCGAGAGCCCCUACCCAUGGAAGGGCGUGGAGACGACAGGGUGUUUGAGGCCGGAUGUGAGUGGCAGGCAGACACGGAGUCUUCGAAGGGGCGGAGGAGGUGAAACUCACAGCCCCACCUCUCGGCUUCACUGGCGGAGCUGGGAGUUCAAGUUCAUUACAGACCUCAUCUUGUCCCUCCUCACACCAGCCUCCAAAGGCGAGGAUUGCCCUCACUAUUGUGCAGAUGAGGGAACUGAGGCCCGUGACACUUGUGAGACUUGAGGCCAGCCAGCUGAUUCCCUGUCUGAGCUGGGGUGCUUGGCUCAGGCCAGGCUCUCUGCCAGGUGUGUGGCUUGUGUGUGUUAACUCAGUCCACACAACCACCUAAUCCGGGAGGGACUGUCAUGAUCCCCAUGGUACCGAUGAGCAAACACCAGCACAGGGAGGUUCAGCGACUGCCCCAAGGUCACAGAGCUUGUCAGCGACAGAGCCCAGCAUCAACCCCGGCGCCACCGGAUGUCAGAGCCGAUGCUUCAGCCAAGGGGCAGCAAAGCUGCCUCAGAAGCUGGUAAAUGAUGGAGCAGGGCUCAAACCGCUGGCAGCCUGACUCCAGAGCUCCCACCCUCUCUACCACCAGACGCGAGGGACUGAGGAGAGAGGCCCAAGCCUGGGCCCCAGCCAGAGCCGGACGUGCUGUGGCAGGCAUCCAACUUCCGGCCCGGCCAACGCUUUGGAGAAGGGCCAGAGGCAGGGGAAGGCCCCCAAUCAAGGCCUUCCCAGAGCUGGUCCUCAGGCACCCCCGGGGCAGGGACCAGCCUGAACCUGCUGAGGGGAGGACGACAGUCAAGUCUCCCCAACCCAUCCCAGAACAAGGAAUCAGACUCUCCUGCGGUGGGGCUCAGAGAUCUGCAGUUCCGAGAGCCUCACACGUGAUUCUGAAGCAGCCUUCAGACCCCAGCUACCACCUGGGACCCGUGGCCAGAGUCCAGCUUAGAAAGUCUGGGGUAUCAGACCCUAUAGAGAAAAGUGACAACAACAGCCACACGUUGUAUGCGCCAGGAACAUAGCCUGUCCUCCCGUAAGCCUCAUCUCCUCACAGUGACCCAUGAAUGAAGGGGACUCUUGCCAACCCAUUUUUCAGAUGAGGGAACUGACGAUCAGAGAAAGAAGAACCUGCCCGGGUCACCCAGCCGGUGAGGGAGAGCUGGGACUCACACUAAGCCUGGUCUUAGGCCUUCCUUCCUUCGUCCCUCCCUCCCUCCUCCCCUCUCUGCAGGAGGGUCUGGGGUGGCACUGAGAGAGGGAGGGGGCUCCCACCCAGAGAACUCAGGAAGCAGCUUUUGCCCCUCCUUCUCCAUCCAGCUGAGGCCAACCCCCUCUCCCGCGGUGAGAUCAUCUCUGCUUCAAUCACCGCUCAUUCCAUUCGUCAAGCUAAUAAUUAGAAGGUUCUGCUCCUUUGAUAAUCUCUCUUCAGCAAAAAAAAAAAAAAAAAAAAAAAUGGGGCUGGGUCGAGGGUAGAGGUAGAAGACAGAGGCCCCAUCCCGUGCAAGCCACCCACAUUGUGUGCUAGGAGACAUCUCUGGAGAGGGCUCUGCUCUGUGUCCUCAUCUGUAAAACUAACUGGGAAGGGACUGUGAGUACCUCUGUGGUGUCUGAGAUCUGAGGGUGAGGCUGAGAGGAAAGGGGUGCCAGGGGCAGGUGGGGACAUGGGGAAGGGAGUCAGGGGCACGCUCAGAGAAGCCCGGGGCUUAUGCAACCCUGGGGAGCCUCAGUGAGAGAGAGGGAGACACAGACUCUGAAGCAGGGCCCAGGCUCUGAGCCAUCAGCACAGAGCCCGAUGCAGGGCUUGAACCCACGAACUGCGAGAUCAUGACCUGAGCCGAAGUCGGCUGCUUAACCGACUGAGCCACCCAGGCGCCCCUCGUGAUGGUUUUUUUAUUUAU